rnacentral:pre_miRNA from 1 species
CUAGUACUCCCUCCGUCCAACAAAAGAUAUCUCAAAUUUAUCAAAAUGUGGAUGUAUUUAGACAUGACUUAGUGUAUAGAACUAUAGAUGCAUUCAAAUUUAGUCAAAAUUGAGACAUCCUUUGUUGGAUGGAAGAAUACACU